rnacentral:tRNA from 1 species
GGGAGCAUAGCUCAGCUGGGAGAGCACCUGCCUUACAAGCAGGGGGUCACAGGUUCGAGCCCUGUUGCUCCCA